rnacentral:tRNA from 1 species
CAAAGAGUAGUUUAAAUUAAAAUGCCGGCUUUGGGGGUCGGAGAUGGAGUAAUUCUUCUUUGA